GCAAGUCUCCUUCUACAGGUCUCUCUUUGAGGACUGAGAAAGUAUUCGGGUUCACAUACGUUCAGUGAUACACACUUUGUAUUAAGGAAAAAAGCAGAUAUAAAAUGAGCUGGGUGGUGGAAGAAUGGAAAGAAGGCCUUUCCACAAGGGUCCUUCAGAAGAUUCAAGAGCUUGAAAGUCAACUAGACAAGCUUAAAAAAGAACAACAGCAAAGACAGUUUCAGCUUGAAUCACUGGAGGCAGCUUUGCAGAAGCAGAAGGUUGAAAAUGAAAAAAACGAAGGAGCAACACUAAAAAGAGAAAACCAGAGCUUGAUGGAAUUGUGUGAUAAUCUUGAGAAAACAAAGCAGAAAAUUUUGCAUGAUCUUCAAGUAAAAGAAUCACAAGCUAAUUAUCAAGCGGGACAACUAACUUCAAGCAAGAAACAAAUUGAAAGACUAGAACGGAAACUUAAAAGGAUAGUAUGCAUGCUUAACAGCCGGAGGGGGUCAUGAUGGGACCAGACUAUUACCAUCUGCUUUCCCGUGAGGUAUUUGAAUUUCCCUACCCCCCAGUAGGUGCACAACAGCACCUUUUCACACCAUCCAUACUUCAGUUCCACAGCACUCAAAAGUUGAGAGGCAAAGGCCACACGUCGGUCCUUUGCUCCAUACUCCGUGUUAACGCAUGUACCCUUUAAACUAUCCCAGUAGAACUAAAGUGAUACAACCCACCUAAUGGGGAUGCAGUAAUAGUGGUUUAAAGGUGCUUAUUCCUGUCAUUAUAACUAUUUCUAUACAGGAAGGGGAAUAAGCUACACUGAUUGGUAGACAGAUGGCUGAGAUUCUCAAAGGGGGCUGUUAUUUGCCCAGCUCUCAUUG